CUACAACCACAUGUUAUUUUUUUAUUCUCUCUCUGUUUAUUUCCUCGUGUUCCUUUCUGUUGAAGAGCAUAUUCUCGAAACGUAAAAGACUUUCUCUCCUUCUCGAGCAUCAGACUAAUUCUCCUGCUUGUUGUUUAUACACCUGUCUUGGUCCUUUGUUUUUCUGUAA